rnacentral:lncRNA from 1 species
UGGGUGUGGAAUGGAAGCAGGAAGGACAAGGGGUACAAGGUUAUAGCAGUAACGAGGGGCCAGUUAAUGCAGGGCCUUGUAAAUCAUUGUGAUAAAUUUGGCCUUUACUUCAAGUGAGAUGAGAAGUCAGUGCAGAAGUUUGAGCAGAGGAGCACCAAGAUCUAACAUGUUUUGACAGGACCAUUUGAGCGGCUGUGUUGAGAGGAGACUCAAGAAAGUGGAGGUGUCCACCAGGAGCCGCUGGCACCCUUUGUCAGCGAGCUAAACACUCUCCUGGCCUUGGAGUCACAGAAGUUGAAGGAGGAGAUUCAAGGAGGCAGAGUUGCUGCAGGCCAACAAGGUGGAGCUUAAUGAGUCUUCUCCUGACUAAGCCUGACUAAUUUGUGAGAAUUUUGAAUAAACCUGACUCUUUCAAUGGCAAUUCUGAGGAUCCAGUUGGAUAGAACACGUCUUCAGGCUUAGCUUGGAAACUGGGUGUGUCUAAUAUUCUACAGAUACACUUGUAAUAAAUUAAUGGUGGCUUCCGUGAAGCAGGUCCCCACAGCCUACUCCACAAAGCUACAGAGAACAGAAAAGCUGACAACAAUAAGUAGCAGGAUUAUUGCAAUACCCCAUCAAAAUCUCUGAGCAUAGAGAUGGAUUAUAGUGCUUUAAACAUCACCAUACAUCCCAAAGACAAUUAAUAAAAAUUACUGAUGAGGGAUUCAAUUGAUGAACCAAAGCCUGGUGGUGUGCCCAGUGAAAGAGUUGCAGUUAAUGCAAACUGUGAAGGAUUCCAUCCAAAAAGGCCUCCCAUCCAUCUGGAGCUAAUGAUGUUUCCAGCACUCAGCGAGGCUCCUGGGAACCAAACAACCCUGUUGUCAGCCUACCUGGUCUAGCAUUUCCAGGAGCAGCUGGCUUGUUCCAGAGAGGUCUAAGUCCUCCAAUCCAUCAGAGACGCCCCGGUCCGGUUCUGUGGAAAUUUCUAGGCUAGUUAUUUCCUCCAUGACUCAUCCAUGUGUUUCAUCCAAACUUAAAAAUGCUCCUCCUGUCACCAUCCUCUCCAAAGUCCCAACCCCUGUGGCUCUGUGCUUUCUUCUCCCUGAACAGACGUAAUUUCCACCGUAUUUCUUAGAACCUAUACUUAAUUGCACACAACAUCACAUACACCCUUAGCCUAGUCACAGAUCCUUCACCCAUUUUCUGGCUCUCACUGAAACCUUCUCUCUCAAGUGGACACUCUCAUUUGGGUUGGAGUCCUUGCUCCCAAUGUAACUUGUAGAUCUUUACUCCUUCGCAGUUCUCCUCGCUCAUUCCCCUCUUUCAGGGAGCCCCUGGGCUCACUGUCAAUCCUUUCAUCUCAGGUGUAUAAAUCCACCCUUCAUCUUAGGCUCUUAACUCCUUUUCUUCCUCAACAGACCAGGAACCUGGUAGCACCUACCAUCCAAAUAUACCCCAAAGCUCACCACUUCUUUCUGCCUCCACUGCCUCCACCUAGGCUGUAUUACAGGCCACCACAGUCUUUUACCUGUGCUGCUGUAACCUCGUAAAUCAGCUUUCUGAUUCUCCUUUUGCCCCCAUAGUCAGUUUUCCAUUCAGCUGCCGGAGGAAUUUCCCUAAAAUGUAUCAUGUCAUGUCAUGCCUCUGCUCAGAACCCUUUAGGGGCUUUCCAUCCCACUGAGACUGAAAUCCAAAGCCCUCUGGGGUCAACCCCUGCCCAUCUCUCUGCCUCAACUCCUAUCACAUCCCUCUUGUUCAGGCCGCCCCCGCCAUACUGGAAUCCUUCGGCUCCACCAAGCUCACUCUCUCCUCACAGUCUCUUCCUGGAGAGCUCCUUUUGUGGACAUCCACAUGGCUUUCUCUUCACUCCAUUCAGCUCCCUGCUUGAAUGGAAUGCCCCGGAGAGCCCUCCCUGAUCACUUUAUCCAGAAUAGUCCCUUCCUCUCCUUGCCCCCAAUAUCACUCUCAACUUGAAGCUGUGCACACCUUAAAACCACAGUUAUAAUGUCCAGGUGUGUUUGUUUAGGCCUCUUUCCUCCACUAGAACCCAAGUGCCUUGAAAGAAGACGGCAUUUGCCUGUCUUGCUCACCUCUGUCCCUUCAGGACCUAGAGCCACGUGUGGCACAUCAUCUGUGCUAAAUAAAUAAGUAUGGAAUGAAUGAAGAAAUGACUUCUUUAGUCACCAUGUCUUAAGGUCAUAAAACAAGUUUUGUG